rnacentral:rRNA from 1 species
UCAAGCGACUAAGUGUAUGUGGUGGAUGCCUUGGCGAUUACAGGCGAUGAAGGACGUCGCAGCCUGCGAAAAGCCGUGGGGAGCUGGCAAGCGAGCACUGAUCCACGGAUGUCCGAAUGAGGGAACUCACCCGCAAGGGUAUCUUGAAGUGAAUACAUAGCUUCAAGAGGCGAACGCAGCGAACUGAAACAUCUAAGUAGCUGCAGGAAAAGAAAUCAACCGAGAUUCUGAAAGUAGCGGCGAGCGAAAUUGGAUGAGCCUGCAAGUGAUAUUGAAUUCGAUACUGGAACGGUCUGGAAAGUCCGGCUACAGAGGGUGAUAGCCCCGUACGGGAAAUUGGGUUCAAGGUACUGAGCUUGCGAGAAGUAGAGCGGGACACGUGAAAUCCUGCUCGAAGAUGGGGGGACCAUCCUCCAAGGCUAAAUACUCGUAAUCGACCGAUAGCGAACCAGUACUGUGAAGGAAAGGCGAAAAGAACCCCGGGAGGGGAGUGAAAUAGAUCCUGAAACCGCAUACAUACAAACAGUAGGAGCCCGCAAGGGUGACUGCGUACCUUUUGCAUAAUGGGUCAGCGACUUACGUUCAAUGGCAAGCUUAACCGAGUAGGGGAGGCGCAGCGAAAGCGAGUCCGAACAGGGCGACAUGAGUCGUUGGGCGUAGACCCGAAACCAGAUGAUCUAUCCAUGGCCAGGCUGAAGGUGUGGUAACACACACUGGAGGGCCGAACCGACUAGUGUUGCAAAAUUAGCGGAUGAGCUGUGGAUAGGGGUGAAAGGCUAAACAAAUCUGGAGAUAGCUGGUUCUCCCCGAAAACUAUUGAGGUAGUGCCUCGUGUAUGGCUCCAGGGGGUAGAGCACUGUUAUGGCUAGGGGGACAUGGCGUCUUACCAAACCAUGGCAAACUCCGAAUACUUGGAAGUCUGAGCACGGGAGACAGAGCACCGGGUGCUAACGUCCGGACUCAAAAGGGAAACAACCCAGACCGCCGGCUAAGGUCCCUAAUAUUGACUAAGUGGAAAACGAAGUGGGAAGGCUAAGACAGUCAGGAAGUUGGCUUAGAAGCAGCCAUCCUUCAAAGAAAGCGUAAUAGCUCACUGAUCGAGUCUUCCUGCGCGGAAGAUGUAACGGGGCUAAGUCAAUAACCGAAGCCGCGGAUUCGCAGCAAUGCGAGUGGUAGGGGAGCGUUCUGUAAGCCUGCGAAGGCGGAUCUGCGAGGACCGCUGGAGGUAUCAGAAGUGCGAAUGCUGACAUGAGUAACGUUAAAGCGGGUGAAAAGCCCGCUCGCCGCAAGCCCAAGGUUUCCUGCUCUACGUUCAUCGGAGCAGGGUGAGUCGGCCCCUAAGGUCAGGCUGAGAAGCGUAGCUGAUGGGAAGCUGGUUAAUAUUCCAGCACCGAUUUCAAGUGCGAAGGGGGGACGGAGUCCUGAAGGUCAUCCGGGUGUUGGAUAUCCCGGUUUACGAGCGUAGGAGGUUGACAGGCAAAUCCGUCAACGGAUCUCCAAGGCGAAGGAUCGAGGUUGAGAGAUCAACUGAAGUGACUGAAUGGGCUUCCAGGAAAAGCCUCUAAGCAUCAGCUUGGAAUUGACCGUACCGCAAACCGACACUGGUGGGCGAGCUGAAUAUGCUCAGGCGCUUGAGAGAACUCAGGAGAAGGAACUCGGCAAAUUGACACCGUAACUUCGGGAUAAGGUGUGCCUUUGUAGUGUGAAGAGAGAAACACUCCGAGCAUGAAGAGGCCUCAGAGAAUCGGUGGCUGCAACUGUUUACUAAAAACACAGCACUCUGCAAAGAUGAAAGUCGACGUAUAGGGUGUGAUGCCUGCCCGGUGCUGGAAGAUUAAUUGAUGGGGUGCAAGCUCCUGAUCGAAGUCCCAGUAAACGGCGGCCGUAACUAUGACGGUCCUAAGGUAGCGAAAUUCCUUGACUGGCAAGUUCCGACGUGCAAAAAUGGCAUAAU